UGCUGAAGCGAAACUUUCCCGAAACAAUGGGGCAUACAUAAAUGUAUCUUUUCCUCAUACCUAAAUGUAUCUUUUCCUCAGUUUCCAAUUCCCAAGGCCUUUCUAAAUCCCUUCCUCCACACUACCGCGGCAGCGCGAUAGCAACAGUCACCGGGGCUGCCACCGGGGCUGUAACCGGGGUUGUCACCGGGACUGCCACCGGCGCUGUCACUGAGGGGUCGCACCGCGUUUGCAGCAGCGGGGUCGCACCUUGUGGCUCCCCAGCGCUACGCGCAAGGACGGGGGACAGGCGACAGGGACAGACGAGCGGUGUGCGACAACGCGACACAAAGGCUCUGCUGGGCUCCCGCUGCGUAGGCUCCAGGAAAGGGUGCGGGGAAGGGACAGCGGAUCGACGGAGGGACGCGCACAGAGCAGUGCACUGCUCCACGGUGCCCCUCCCUCAAAUGCUGUACAGGGAUAUGCAGCCAAAAAAAAUUAGAGAAACAGGUGGUAAGAAGCAGAUUCCCUGUUACACCGCAGCAUGUGCAGGUAUCUUCCUCAGAGUAAUAUGUCCAUGGCAAAAGAGAUUAAGAAGAUGUGAAAUCAUUCAUGAUGCAGGCUAAUAGAAGAUUAAGCCUUCUCUUUCAGGCCUAGGUUAAGCAACUAACCUUGUUUUUCAAACAGUAUUUGACUCCCCAUAAAACUGUGUUAUUCUGUGGUCCACAUAGGGUUUCCAUUUGUUGAGUGCAAGCAAUUGGCUAGCAUGUCUCUGCCCCUUCCUGAACAGCUAGUAGCAAUGCUUUGCAGGCCUGCCAGCCUCAGAAAAAUUCAGCAGCUGGAAGGGUGAAAUAUGGGACAUAAACAACCCAUAUUUAAACCCCUGGUAAGCUGCAAUAAUAAUUCUAAGUUUAGUGUAUUAGGAUCAGACCAUUUGCCUUAAAAAUACAGUUACUACUGCUCAUGUCUGUUCAGCUGCCUACCUCCUCCACAGAUUUCACCCAUCAGCUGUUAAGACUGGAACAUAUCAGAGCUUGAAUGUUUAAACCUUAUCUGGAGAGAAUUAUUUAAUUUUUUAGGGUUUUGGUUUUUUUCCUGAAUAACAAAUAUGGGUCCAGUGCAGGUAGCAGGCCCUCAUGGCACAUGCCCAGGUAUGAGCAAAGGGUUCCCUUUGCUUUUGGUGAAUCUUCUAACCUGUAGAAUAUAUGUCCUAGCUCGUGAAAUGUCAGGGAUUCACCCCUUGUAGAGAUUUGGCACCGUGGAAUGAAGCUAGAUACCAAAAAGCUGACUGUGGAAGGUGGGAAGCUUGUGCUGGUGAAGCCCCCAAGAGGCUGAAGUGGACAAUGCUGUUCUCCAACACGGAGGAAGGGAUGAACAGAUUCUUUUAGGGAUACAUGGCAGAAUAAUGGUUGCACUAAGUCAUAGUUGCAACUGAAGGGUUUUAUUCUCAGAAGAUUAAAGAUAACGUUCUAUAUUAUGACUCCCAUAACUGAAUUUAUUGCAAUCAAUAAAUCGUGUGAUAUAAAAUUUCUAAUACAGCUUAACUUAAAAUUUUUCAUCACCUAUAUCCUAAUUUAACUUGUAAUUUCUAUUCACUUGGACUCUCUGCAGAGAAUUUCCUGAAAAGCUGUGGAGAAGAGAGAUAUAAACUCCCAGCUGGAGCUGUCGUGUCUUUCUCCAUUCCCUACUACCUCAAAACAACAUGUGCCCAGUUUCCGCAAUCUAUCUGUAGUCCAUCCUCUGUAACCCAUUUGAGAACCUAAAAUUCACAUCCUAAAAUUCCUUCUGGAAUCUGGAACCAGCAAGAAUGGCUGUAGGAACCAGAGAACCUGUGUGCUGCAAUUCCCAGUUUUCUCACCUCUGUCCUUCAGCCAUCCGAUUCCAGCACUGUGCACAACACACAAUACUGGCAAGACUCUGGUCUGGAAAUCCAUCAGACUCAAGCCUGCUAGAGGUGUUUGAGAGCUGCCUGGUGCUGUGAUGUGUUGGUUUGGAAUUCCCGGGAGCACCUGAAGAAGGAAGGUGUUUAGAAGGUGCACAAGAUUCUGGGUGCAGGUGAUAUCUUGGCAACUAGAACUAGAUCAUGCACACAACUCAUUGUAAACCCAGCCAAACCCCAGAAUUCAGUUAUAUUUGCUUGUAGCUUUUGUGAACAUGCAGUUUCCAUUAAGGAUAGCUGCAUCGCUCCAUUACUUUCAUGGAUCAGUCCUAAAAGCAUCACAAAGAAACUCACCACAUGGGUGAAAAGAUAAAACAUAUAUUGACAGUUUUCCUUUCUUUCAAAUUCUUCAAUCACUUGUGCUAUUCCUAUUCUUAAGUUCUAUUUAUCAACAUAUAAAUCUGAGGAGGAAAGUGCAUAAAAAAACUUGGAAAUAUUUAAAAAACUGUAAAGAGGGCAAUGUGGAUUAUAAACUAAGUAUAAGAAAUGAUGUGUGAUGUUUUUUGUGGCAACAAGAUGGAAGUUAGAGUGGAAGAUUGUCCAUCAGCUGAUACUUUAAGAAGACACAAACUGUGGGUUUCAUUUUCAGCUUAGUUUUCUGGGAGCUGGAUUCAAUGGGUUAGUUUUUAAUGCAUAACCUCCAAAUUUAUGAGAGUUGUUUUCAUUUAUUUUUAUUACUAAACAAAAUCAGCUAUGCAUAAAUAAUAGAAGAAACCAAGUUGUCUUGAAAAUUUCCAAAUAAGGACAGCUUGGAAUGGAAGGACCACACACCAGCUGCCAUACGAACGGGUUCAUAUUUAACAACCUGAAGUUCUUCACAUUUCCAGAGUGAAUUAUUGGUUUAACCUCUUGUAGCUCCUCUGCAAUGAUGGCUGACAGUGGACACUUGACAGCAAGAUGUGAUCUGAAAAUAUGCAAAAUACUUAAAUAAUAUAGCAGAGGGAGGGAAAUCGUGGCAAGGCCUGGACAGUUAGAUUUGCCUCCCUGAGUGCAUUGAAGCUACCUACAUGUAUAGAGUUAAGUACCCUGCAAAGGUUAAGCAUGUACAAAUUAAAGUGAAAUUCUAUCAAGGAAACUUUGUUAUGGACUGAAAUGAAGUGAGUUCUUCCUUUAGACCAGACAGAAAAAUAAUUUAAGAGUAUUACAGGAGAAAAAGUUGUAUGAUUCAGAGUCUUUGGAGGGAAAAAAGUUGAGCAAAUUUCUGUCCUGAGACACAGUGAAGUGAGUAGAGCUCCCUAAGUGACAGUAAAUGGCUCAAAGAGCUGCUGUUGAAGGGAAGGAAAAGACACUGGUGCUGAUUAUCUUUAUUUUGUCCCAGUCCGUACUAGCUCAUGAUGCCCACCUUUGCAGUUGUGCACUUGGAAAACAGCAGCCACAAUAACACUAGGUGCCUAAGAGUUCAGGUGAAGUACUUCUUUGGACUUGCAAAACAAAAAGCAGAAAAGAGUGACAAUAUUGUUUUGCUUGCUGGAUACUCUUACCCUCUACUUGCUCUUCCUGGAUCUUAAUUCAAUUGUGGUCCACUGAUCAUUGGCUCUUAAAAAAUUUGUCAGUUUUUACUAUAUGGAAAAAAAUGCUUUGUCUCAUUUUAUAUCGCCUCCCUGACAGAUCAGUUGAUUAACUCCUAAAUCUUAUGUUGGAGUAAAACAGAACAAUGAUUCUCCAGUCAGGGUUCCCGUGGGUUUUACAGGAGGUUAGGGUUUCUUUUGUAGAGUCAGGCACAGAAACCAGGAAUGGACAAUUAUCUGAAUUAGUGAAUCAUGACCAAUCUAGAAUCUGUUGGUCUCUUUAAUGUAGCCUUUCAGAGCAUGUGCAUGUUACUUCCAGGACACUGAUGUAGUUGGUAUCAGUUCCAAUAAUACAAAUAUUUAUACCAAAAUACUAAGCACUAGUAGAUCAAAAGGCCCAUUAUGGCUUUAUAUUUUGAAGAAACCUUGCAUAUUAACCAACAAUUGCAUCACUAAAUGUUUAGGACUUGGGUUGACCUUGUAUUUUUGCAUAAACUAAUUAAGUCCUUCAAGUUGUGCUGCCUGAUUGCCAGAAUAUUUAAAGCAGUAUCUGCAUAUAGACAACAGGGAAUCUUCUGAGUUCCCUGAAGACUCUAAAAGGUGGUGUGUCUCAAGAACAGGGCUUGCUUUGUUGUAUGACAUUGCCACUCUGGUGCCUGAGUAUUACAAAGACACCAUUAACUGAAGUUUGUUGGAGAACAGAGCAAUGCCUAAUUUUCUUGUAAGGAAAUUAUGAUAAAUUACUUGAAGACAGAAAUAUUUAGAAACUUGGGGAGGAAGUACAAUAUGGGCUAGACUUCUUGAAAACUCAGGUACUUUGUUGUGGAAAACAGUGGGAAAACAUUUCAUUCUGACUAAGAGUCUAGUUCUGCCAAGAGGGAUAAAGAAUUGGCAGGUGUUCCCUGGAGAGAGAGAGAUGGAGAACAGGCAGGGGAGAAAGCCUUAGGCAUUAUGAUACUUCAGAAGAAAAGUUAAAAUAGAGAUCAAAAGAUUUGUUGUUGAUAACUACCAAUCAAAAUUAUACCCAAAGCGGGUAGCACAUGUGUACACUUUGCUCAAAGCAACAUGAGACCUCUCCUCAUUACAUUGACAGAUUAUGUGAAUGUCAUUCUGAUUUUUAUAUAUAUAUAAGCAUGUGUGUGUACAAGCACACACACACACACACACACACACACACACACACACACACACACACAUAUAUAUAUUUAUAUAUACUUGAAAUGCUGCCAUGCUUGAGAUGUUUAAGAGACAUGUGUAAGGGCAACUCUUAGACCUUCACUUCUGAAGUAGCACUUACUCACACUAGUGGCUGCACAAAUGUGUUAAUUGCUGUUCCAAGCAAUAGUUCAAGAGAUGAGCUUUUCAAUUCAAGUCAAUUAAUUAAAUGCAGUAUGCUUAAUUUAAAUUCAUGAGAAUUUUUUUAAUUAAAACUGCAUACUACAGUUUUUCUAUUAUGGGACAUGCAUUCAAUUAUUCUCUGCAAUUAAGUGAGAAGCUGCAACAUUACCUUAGUAACACUUCAUGAAUUUAAGUCAAACUUAAGUUUGGCUAUAAAGCAGAGUUUAAGGUUAAAUUUAAUUUCUCUGGGAUUCAAGACUGGAGGAUGAAUUGCUACUAGUUCACCACAUCUAGAAAAGCAAGAAUAGAAGAUAUCAGUUUAAUUUAAAUCAAUUUGGUCAGCUUAUUUUCAAAUGCCUGGAUUUUGAUGAUUUUUUUUUCACCAAAAUUUUUUUUCAAUAUAAAUAUUGAAAAAUAUAAAUAAAUACAUAAAUUAAACCAAGGAAAAUUCAUUCUAGAUUGGGUACAAAGCCACUCAGGUUCACACUGCCAAUGAUGCUGAAAGUGUUGAUGAUCUGGGCACAAUACAUUACAACAACUGUGUAUUAGAAAACAAAUAUCCCUUAAAUUUCUGCAUCCAGACCUGGGCCCAGCAGGAUUCUUGAAAGCAAUCAUAAAAGGGACAGAGUUUGGGUCAGACAGGGACAUAAAUAUUUGUGUUUGGGGAACAUAUAAAGGGGAAAAGAAUCAGUUAAUUUACUCAACUAUACCUAGGGGGAAAGUUAAAUUAUCACAGCUCAGGGACCCCUUAAUCCUGUAUAAUACAUUAUAGCAUUUCCUUUAGAGUAUUUCAGGACAAGUGCCAAGAAAUUUGAAGUUAUGGAAGUGAUGGGUAUGAAAUUAAUUGCAAUUUUUUUGCUAGUUUCAUAGGCUUAAAACAAAAAAUACCCCACCAAACUUUCCCUUUGACCAAAAUUACUUAUAAGUUCCUCACUACAGAAAGACAUGGUCAGAAUCUUCUUGCUUCAAAAUUCUCCUUUUUUCAGUUGUUUUCAAAGCACUGCACUAUGAUGUCUCUCACAAAUUGUAUCAUCAUUUACUUUUCCUCUUUCUGCCUGCAGGGUAUCUCUGAUAAAGGUCAUGACUGUUCACCAACACAUCUCCCAUUCAUUUGAAAGAGACUAAAUGUAGUUACCACAACUAAGCUUCAGUCCAUUAUCCUUCAUCCAAUAACUCUCACUUUUUCCUGGUAUUUAACAUAACAGUGGCCAAAAAACAGGCAGUAAAAGAUUUAAGUUAGAAGAAAAGUGAAAAGAUCCCUUUUAAGUUGGUGAACAGAGCUUCUUAUAGAUACAUGUGUGUCUGUGUGUCUGUGUGUCUGUGUCUGUGUGUGUUCACAGAAUACUUUGUAUUUUACCACUUCUGCUGAAGCCUGUGAUCCAGCAAUUCCAGCAUGUCAUGAAAAAGAAAUUGUGCAUUAAAAACAAUAAAAAAGAAAUUGAAAAGA